rnacentral:rRNA from 1 species
GACGAACGCUGGCGGCGUGCUUAACACAUGCAAGUCGAGCGGAAAGGCCCCUUGUGGGUACUCGAGCGGCGAACGGGUGAGUAACACGUGAGUAAUCUGCCCUUCACUUCAGGAUAGCUCCCGGAAACGGGGAUUAAUACUGGAUAUGACACAUUCGCGCAUGUGGGUGUGUGGAAAGUUUUUUCGGUGGGGGAUGUGCUCGCGGCCUAUCAGCUUGAUGGUGGGGUAAUGGCCUACCAUGGCUUCGACGGGUAGCCGGCCUGAGAGGGUGACCGGUCACACUGGGACUGGGACACGGCCCAGACUCCUACGGGAGGCAGCAGUGGGGAAUAUUGGACAAUGGGCGGAAGCCUGAUCCAGCAACGCCGCGUGAGGGAUGACGGCCUUCGGGUUGUAAACCUCUUUCAGCACAGACGAAGCGCAAGUGACGGUAUGUGCAGAAGAAGGACCGGCCAACUACGUGCCAGCCGCCGCGGUAAUAC